rnacentral:rRNA from 1 species
UACGGGGGGGGCAAGCGUUGUUCGGAAUUACUGGGCGUAAAGGGCUCGUAGGUGGCCAACUAAGUCAGACGUGAAAUCCCUCAGCUUAACUGGGGAACUGCGUCUGAUACUGGAUGGCUUGAGUUUGGGAGAGGGAUGCGGAAUUCCCAGGUGUAGCGGUGAAAUGCGUAGAUAUCUGGAGGAACACCGGUGGCGAAGGCGGCAUCCUGGACCAAUACUGACACUGAGGAGCGAAAGCCAGGGGAGCAAACGGG